rnacentral:rRNA from 1 species
UCUCCUGGAAACGGGUGGCAAUGCCGGAUGUUCCACAUGAGCGCAUGCGAGUGUGGGAAAGGCUUUUUGCGGCAUGGGAUGGGGUCGCGUCCUAUCAGCUUGUUGGUGGGGUAACGGCCUACCAAGGCGUUGACGGGUAGCCGGCCUGAGAGGGCGACCGGCCACAUUGGGACUGAGAUACGGCCCAGACUCCUACGGGAGGCAGCAGUGGGGAAUAUUGCACAAUGGGCGCAAGCCUGAUGCAGCGACGCCGCGUGCGGGAUGGAGGCCUUCGGGUUGUAAACCGCUUUUGUUCAAGGGCAAGGCACGGUUUCGGCCGUGUUGAGUGGAUUGUUCGAAUAAGCACCGGCUAACUACGUGCCAGCAGCCGCGGUAAUACGUAGGGUGCAAGCGUUAUCCGGAUUUAUUGGGCGUAAAGGGCUCGUAGGCGGUUCGUCGCGUCCGGUGUGAAAGUCCAUCGCUUAACGGUGGAUCCGCGCCGGGUACGGGCGGGCUUGAGUGCGGUAGGGGAGACUGGAAUUCCCGGUGUAACGGUGGAAUGUGUAGAUAUCGGGAAGAACACCA